GAGGGUAUAGCUCAGCAGUAGAGUGCAUGCUUAGCAUGCACAAGGUCCUGGGUUCAAUCCCCAGUGCCUCCA
rnacentral:tRNA from 1 species